rnacentral:rRNA from 1 species
UACGUAGGGUGCAAGCGUUGUCCGGAAUUAUUGGGCGUAAAGAGCUCGUAGGCGGUUUGUCGCGUCUGCUGUGAAAACCGGAGGCUCAACCUCCGGCCUGCAGUGGGUACGGGCAGAUUAGAGUGCGGUAGGGGAGAUUGGAAUUCCUGGUGUAGCGGUGGAAUGCGCAGAUAUCAGGAGGAACACCGAUGGCGAAGGCAGAUCUCUGGGCCGUAACUGACGCUGAGGAGCGAAAGCAUGGGGAGCGAACAGG